rnacentral:tRNA from 1 species
AGAAACUUAGGCUAACCAAACCAAGAGCCUUCAAAGCCCUAAACAUGAGUCAUAACCCUCAUAGUUUCU